rnacentral:rRNA from 1 species
UACGGAGGAUGCAAGCGUUAUCCGGAAUGAUUGGGCGUAAAGCGUCCGCAGGUGGUUGUGUGUGUCUAUUGUCAAAGCAUCAUGCUUAACAUGAUAAAGGCAGUAGAAACUACACGACUAGAGUGCGUUCGGGGCAGAGGGAAUUCCUGGUGUAGCGGUGAAAUGCGUAGAGAUCAGGAAGAACACCGGUGGCGAAGGCGGCUUCCUGGCCGUGUCCUGACGCUGAGGUGCGAAAGCUAGGGGAGCGAACGGG